rnacentral:rRNA from 1 species
UACGUAGGGGGCAAGCGUUGUCCGGAAUUAUUGGGCGUAAAGAGCUCGUAGGCGGUUUGUCGCGUCUGCUGUGAAAACUCGAGGCUCAACCUCGGGCUUGCAGUGGGUACGGGCAGACUAGAGUGCGGUAGGGGUGACUGGAAUUCCUGGUGUAGCGGUGGAAUGCGCAGAUAUCAGGAGGAACACCAGUGGCGAAGGCGGUGCUCUGGGCCGGAACUGACGCUGAGGAGCGAAAGCGUGGGGAGCAAACAGG